rnacentral:misc_RNA from 1 species
GACAUUUGACACAGAGCAUAUGGUCCAUGGCCAAGUUUAGUUGAUAUAUGAGAUAGUGGUUAUGGUCUGGGACAGGGCAGCUCAUAAACACUGUCUGUAUUGAUUACCUUACUGGAUGGAAUUUACAGGAGAGACCUUUUUAUUCUCCCUAUUGUAUCAUGGACAGCUUGAUAUCGAUCCUUGUGAUCAGAGGGGGAUGGAAGCCAUUCCUGGCAAUGUCAGCCUGAUCAAAGACAAGCAGAACUUGAUUGGUAUAAGCAUAGGAGGCGGGGCACCACUCUGCCCCUGUCUGUACAUAGUGCAGGUGUUUGAUAAUACUCCGGCAUCAAGGGACGGGACUUUGGCAUCAGGCGAUGAGAUCGUUGGGGUCAGUGGGAAGUCAGUGAAAGGAAGGACAAAAGUAGAGGUGGCUCGCAUGAUACAGUCCAUCAAGUCAGAGGUAAUCAUCAACUACAACAAGUUGCAUGCUGACCCGAAGCAGGGCAAGUCACUCGACAUCGUCUUGAAGAAGGUCAAGCACCGCAUGGUGGAGAACAUGAGCUCCUCCACAGCCGAUGCCUUGGGUCUCAGCCGAGCUAUCCUCUGCAAUGACGUGUUAAUUAAGAAACUAGAUGAGCUUCAAGCCACUGCCAUAAUGUAUAAGGGUUUGAUGGAGCACGCAAAGAAGAUGCUGAAGGCAUUCUAUGAUCUCUCCUUAUCGCACAGAGCCUUUGGGGAGGCCUUUGGUGUCAUUGGGGCCAGGGAGCCCCAACCAAAGGCUAGCGAGGCCUUCACUGUGUUUGCAGAUGCUCACAGGAACAUGGAGAAGUUUGGUAUCCGUCUGCUCAGGACAGUUAAGCCUAUGCUGACUGAUUUGGGGACUUUUCUCACCAAAGCCAUUCCAGACACACGACUCACCAUCAAGAAAUACGCAGACGCCAAGUUCGAGUAUUUGUCCUAUUGCUUGAAAGUGAAAGAGAUGGAUGAUGAAGAAUAUGCUUACGCCACCCUUGGGGAGCCACUCUACAGAGUUGAAACGGGCAAUUACGAGUACAGGUUAAUUUUAAGGUGUCGUCAGUUGGCCCGAGCCAAGUUUGCUAAGCUGAGGUCUGACGUCAUGGUCAAGCUGGAGCUGCUAGACCAAAAACAUGUUCAAGACAUAGUCUUCCAGCUCCAGAGACUGGUCUCUGCCAUGGCCAACUACCUCCAAGACUGCCACCAGCAGAUGAAGGACGCCGAGAUCUUCCCCAUUGAGGUGGACCUGUUACGCACCACCAUCAACUACGACACCAGCAACCAAUUCAAUGACGAAGAUGAGGACGAGGAGGAGACGGGCGAAGGGGAGGAUGCGGUCAUCGAGGCCGAGGAGGAACUCAUCUCGCCAGCCAGCUAAAUGGAUCUCGCGGAGGAAGGAUCCUUAUGCCGGGCAAUCUUGAGUAGUGCCAUUAUGACAGCAGAAUGAUGAUGUCCCGAGAUUAUGUGUCAGAAUAGACUGAUGUGAAUAGUUUGAUCAGAAAAGACUGGAUAGACUGAUCCGUUAAACCCCGCCCCAUGGAAUUUUGACCAAUCACGGCCUUGAUUUAUGUCCGACAUGCCUGCUCGUGCAUGUGAUGAACGCAGGUGGAAUAUGCAUUGGGGCAUGGUGAAGCAGCAUGUCAGUUGCUCAGUGGCAUAGUGGGCGGGGCCUACAGGAUCCGUCUAAUGUUGUUGCGGCCAUCACAAGUCAACCACAAAUUGCAUGUCACAAGUCACAAGGAAUAUUGGAUGGAAGAUUGACUGGUUUGCCGUUCACUGGAGCAGUGUCUUGAUAUCUUUUGGAUGAUUGUGAUUGACUUGUGUAGGCCGACACCUCUUAGGCAAGCACCACCUCUUCUCUCUCUCUCUCUGGCACUCCGUGGCUCCACAGUAAGAAAUGUUACAGUCUAGUUAGAGGAAAUGGUUAGCAAUCUUUGCAGGGUGAAGGUAUCCCACAAGUGCCAGGUGCUUAGUCUACCUUUUGUUUUUGACAUAAAUUUAAGGACAAGUAAUGUUUUAACACUACAUAUCUCUUACAGUUGCAAAGUGACGUUUAUGCUAGCCUCUCUUGUAACAACUCCAAAAUCAUAACUUUGAGCAUGGGAUUGGAUUUACUGACAAAUCUUCCACAGGUUGUCAGCUUGUGAAAUUUACACAGGUGCUUUUUGAGUGGAGAUUUCAUACAUCACACCAAACACGAUAUCCCUUUGAACUGGCAUAACAAAAAGAAACAGUAAUCAGGUUUAUUUGAAAGAUUGAGAGUAGUUUCAGCAGGCAACAUAGGUCAUGGCCCAAAUUCUUACCCAUGGCUUGAAAUGACAUGCAAGUCUAUGGUAGUGGCCCUCAAAUAUCUCCAACAGGCAACAUAGGUCAUGGCCCAAAUUCUUACCCAUGGCUUGAAAUGACAUGCAAGUCUAUGGUAGUGGCCCUCAAAUAUCUCCAACAGGCAACAUAGGUCAUGGCCCAAAUUCUUACCCAUGGCUUGAAAUGACAUGCAAGUCUAUGGUAGUCGCCUCAAAUAUCUUCAAAGUGUGUAGGUCCAUUUCUAUUGGAGUUUGUAGCUUCAAGAGCACUGCUGUAAUCUUUCGCAUCUGCUCAGCCCAGCAGAAGAAAUUGCUGUAGGUAAAUCUUGUGCUACACACUGGUAUUCUCUGCACAGACUUCGGUGCGUAGAUUUUUGUAUUCCAUGAAUGAAGUUUACAGGAGAACUAAGCCUCACAGGUCCUUUAAAUUUCUUUUCACUUGGGUAAUGUGGGUUUAACAUGUUAAACCCUACUGUGAGAUCAAAGUUUGGAACACUGCUUUUUUGUGGACAGUGGGAGUGCAUUGUAGAUGCAUUAAAUAAAAAGGACGGCCUGUCGGGCUCUGUCCAUGUGUCGCUCAUUACAAUUACUGUGGACAGUCCCCUUUUUGUAAAUAAGAUAACUAUUUAUUAAUAUUAAGCUGUCACGUCAAGAUUUGUCGACACCCCCCCCCAAAAAAAAUUCCUAAUAACGAGAGAAAGGGUAUUUCUGCACCUUGAUCUAUGUCGGCAAAAGUGAAAUGAAUUCACUUUUGGCAUUCAUUGAAUGGUAAUUUUGUAGCAUGAAGCGAGUACUUUAGAAUGGUUGGCUUUGUAUUGUGAAAUGGGAAAUUGGUAAAAAUAUCAAAUGUACAUUAGUCUGCCUUCGUACUUUUUUCAGAACUGUACUGCUCAUACAUAUGACACCUUUUCACAUAACUGGACCGUGAAAUUUUGGGUGAAAAUAGAAACGUGAAUAGAAUUCCAUUUAUGUUUAGUGUUGUAUUCCUGCGUUUACAUUCCUGAUAGAAUUGUUCUGGUUCGUGUUGUACAAUGUAUAUGGCAAAUUUAUUUAUUUCAAAAAUAAAAAUAUAUCCAGUACUUUGAAGAUCAAA